UCAUGUAUCCUUCGCCAGUCCUGCAUCAACAGAUCACCAAAAUUCACCUUCAACACAUGCCCCCCUGUUUUUUAGCAAACGCAGUAUGCCGAAAAACACUUUCAAAUCAUCGAUCCUACACUGAAUCGGCUUAUAUAAUAUUCAUACAUACUUUCUUUUUCCUUCUCUUUUUUAUUACAUUUUUUUUAACGGCCCUUGUGACACUCGUCCAUCAACCAUACUACCAAACAGACAACUAAGCUGGUCUGCUUACGAACGUGGUCCGAUUCGCAAAAAACAGCCCACACAGCCCGGUGAGCAAACCUCUGCUUGCAUCUGCCUCAACCUGUGUCUGAGCUCGAUGCUUCGACCAAUCCUCCCCCGCACUUACUGCUAGGGUUAGGGAAACAGCCGUGCCAUUGCCACGACGCCUUCGCGAGCAGCACAACUCCACCAUGGCCACCUCCGGCACACCGCGCAAACAAUUUAGAGGCGCGGCAGUCUCUUUUGGUGGCAGCUAAAGGCGGCGCUUCCAUCCUCGAUCCGAGCAGCCUUCCAUGGGGCAUCUACUCCGAUCCUUCGGCCAGCAUGACCUCACCAACCCGGACUCCCCGAUGGCCAGAUUUGCAUCCCCUGAAGUUAGCCAUCUACUACCAAUCAGCUGGUCCCCAUCCGCAGAGCACUCGCCCAGGUUUUGGUUUCUGGUUUGAGGGGCUAUAAAAUUUGGGCUGUCAAGGUAUCUACCAUCUUUCAGUGUCACAAAAUGUAAGGUCAGACAGAGUUGGCUGCAAAUAUACAGGCGAUUGGGUGUGUGUUAUGUCAGCUACAGACUUGUAGUUCUAUGAGUGUCUAAUAAAUGAAAGCACAAAUUGUUCAGAACUUUAAAUAUCAAUAGCUGUAUUAGGCACAUCAUAUAGCGGUGCCCCAUCCGGUGCAGUGCAUCAAGAGAGCUAUCGUGGCAGGUAAGCGA